AUGAUACCUAAAGCCUAAUGCUGGGGAGAAGAAGUGUAGAUGGUGCUUCAGUUCCCAGGCUUGGAGUCUGAGGUUGAGACCAUGAAGGAGAGAGAAGAUGAAGAAAGAAGACUGUGCCAUGGGACUUUGGCCGCAUGAACUUGUUAGAAGGCAGUUCCAGGGUCACCUUAAGCAUGUGGAGAUUCAGGACGGGAGGGACGUUCUCAGGACGGUCCUGCUUGGAGAUGAUGCCUGUGGACAGGGAUUAGGAAAAAAAGAUGACUCAGAUCUGACACUGUGACUGAGAGAUGAAAACAAAAGAUAUAUAAGGACACUGGAAGAAGGAAGAUUCUCUCUCACUCUUCCUUGCCUGCUUGCCUCGUGGAACUGAGCAACUGCUAGAUCCUUGGACUUCCAUCCACAGCUGCUUCUGACCAUUGUUGGGGAGUUGGACUAUAGACUAGGCAGUACCUUUUGAUGAUGCUCAUGUGAACUUCACUGAGGAAGAGAGUGGAAUUUGCUGGAUCUUUCCCAGAAGAAACUCUACAAAGGUGUGAUGUUGGAAACUUACUUGAACCUCAAAGCUGUAGGCUAUAAUUGGGAAGACCAUAAUCUUGAAGAACAUUGUCAAAGUAGAAGAAGACCUGAAAGGCAUGUAAGAAGUCAUAAUGGAGAGAAAAUCUAUGAGUGCAAUCAAUGUGGUAAAGCCUUUUCAAGACCCAGUCAACUCCAAAGACAGAGAGUCACAUAUUCUUGAAAGUGUUCUUCAGUUCAGGAAUUGCCUUUGGGAAAUAAUUGGUUCACUUAUGCAUAAGAGAAUA